rnacentral:lncRNA from 1 species
AGGGAGGGAGGCUGCGGACGAGUGCGGGAGGAGUUGGCGAUGGGAGGCGCUUGCAGGGGCUCCCCCCAAUUCUGCGCCGCGAGCCGGGGCACAAAGAGCCCAGUGCACCCGCGGCAGGACCGCGGACCCCAGG